rnacentral:rRNA from 1 species
UACGGGGGGGGCUAGCGUUGUUCGGAAUUAUUGGGCGUAAAGAGCUCGUAGGCGGUUUGUCGCGUCUGCUGUGAAAACUGGGGGCUUAACCCCCAGCCUGCAGUGGGUACGGGCAGACUAGAGUGCGGUAGGGGAGAUUGGAAUUCCUGGUGUAGCGGUGGAAUGCGCAGAUAUCAGGAGGAACACCGAUGGCGAAGGCAGAUCUCUGGGCCGUAACUGACGCUGAGGAGCGAAAGCAUGGGGAGCGAACAGG